UGUGUUUCAAAAAUGAGGUAAAUCCGCGGAUCUGGCAACUCGCACAUCCCGUGACUCCCACAUGUUUAUUAAACCUGCUUAUUUUGUAAUAUUUAUUACACCGAAUCAUGAGCAGAAACCUUGUUUGUUUGUUUUUCCUCAUAGCACGAUCACGCAAAACCACGCGCGUUUGUUAUAUUCGUGUGUUUUUUUUCGGUUUCUCACGCGGACAGACCGAGUUGUUUACCUCUUCGCUCCGUGACGUCACGACACACCCCUUGUGCGCGUACGUGUGUAUGUGUGUGUAUAUGUGUGUGAGAGAGAGAGUGAGAGAGAGAGAGAGUGUGUGUCGUCCCAAACGUCGGAACAGUGCGCGUGUGGCGUGGCAAUGGGGUCUCGCGCAUAAACCCCUAAAAAAACAAACAAAAAAAAACAACCAUAACAGCCAGGAGCGCGCGCGGCGUGUCCGUGGGUUACUGCGCGAGGAGCCGAGGCGGGGCGUUAUUACAACCGACCCCCUUUCCCCCGUUUCUCUCUCUAUCUCUACUGGGGUCCAAGUUCAAAGUUUGUACGUGUUUUCUUUUUUUCUUCCUCCGCUCUACGUACCGGAAAGCAGGCGCGCGCUCUGUUUUAUUUGAUCGCACGCGGAUAAGAUCGGUCUGACGCGUCUCCGCGUUUCUUCUCCUCCACGCCUCGGUGUGUGCUCGCGCUGGCGGCAACUUCUCGCCAUAGGAAUGAGAUAAACGCACGCGCACAUCCAUACAUACACAUGAACACACGCGUUUGCGAAAAAAAAGAAAAGAGGAAAGUUCCGGGGAAGCGGAGUGGAGAGAGUAACGAGCAAGCGCGAGGAGGAGACAGAAGAAGAAAAACACACACACACACACACGGGAUAAAGAGAAAGUUGCACGGUCCGGAACUGAAGUGGAUUAAAGUGGAGCCACGAGACAUCAACAACAACGAGACCGCAAACAAAAGCGCUGCACAAGAUUGCUAACGAUAAAUAAACAACAACAACAACAAUAAUAACCCCGCUCGAGCGUGCGCGCGCGUCCCUACUGCGCUUUCCGUCUUCUUUUUAUUACCUGGCACGCGCUGAAUAGUAUCCUAACUUUACUAUCCUAAACACGAGGAACUUUUACAUUGUCUCACAGUACCGUGUGUGUGUGUUACAUUAAUGCACGUGCACGCGGGAAAGAAAGAGAGGAAACAAAACGCUUGACGGAAACGAGAGGAGGAAAAAAAACACGGUCACGGAACCUCGGUGAGGAAGAGGAGCACACACUGAUGUGAAGAAGGAAUGCAAAAGAACUCGGGUAAGAAAGCAAGCAGGCGCGUGCACGUGUGUGUGUGUCUGUCCUGUUAGCACUGCAGCUUGCUGCAGCCAUUUGCAGCUGCGACAUCAUAUAGGAUAUAUACAUAUGCGCGCGCGCACACACACACACACACACACACUCUUUCAACUUCCCUUCUGACAUAUUUAUAUUCAGUGUUUAAUCCUAAUAAAGUACAGCUCUCUCUUACUGAGAUGAAAAUGUGCUUUUGUAAUUCACUGAUUUUAAAUCACGACAAUUAUUCUGGGGAGAAAGAAAAGAUUCUUCCUAUUUCCAGUAAAGAGCAAUAAUCAUAUUCUAAUUCUAAUAAUCAUUAUAUUCUAAUGAUCAUAUUCUAUAAUCAUAUUCUAAUUCUAAUAAUCAUUAUAUUCCAGUAAUUCUACAGAUUCCCUGAGCUGCAGGUGAAUUAUAAUGAUCUAAAGCUUAAUCUAAGAUCUAGUUUAAUAUUCAGAUAUUUCCCUCAUUAGCUACAGAAAUCUGUUUAUUGACUAUUAGUUUCAGUGAUUUAUUUAUUUCUACAAACAGAGCAGAAAGUGUUUACGGUGUGAUUACAUCUGAAUCCGAAACGGUUUUUACGUGGAAACCUUUCCUUACAUUUCCACUCACACAGUACAGAUUCCUUUCUAAUAUGAAUAUUCAAAUAUUCAGAAAAUUAUGCAAAUAUGCAAGCACCAUCUUAGUGAUUGAUUGGUUGAUUGAUUAGGAGAGUGUUUUUAUUUCCACAAACACAAAUCAGGAACGUACACUGUGUGAAAUUGUGACGCGUAUAUGCAUGGUUGACCUUUUUUAUAUUUACGCUUUAUAUUUGAUCAAAAGCGCUUGUCGUUAUUUUUGAUCAGACCUGCAGGGUAAAUCACUCAGUAAUAACUGGAAUAAAUAAACUGUUAUGAGCGCACGAUCAGGAAGCUGAUAAACAUUUGAACAGUCGUUAAUGACGGCCGUUACAUUUAACUCAACUCUUGAUUGUUAUUGUGAUUUAUUAUUAAACUUAUAAACAUAGAAAUGAAUCACUAAAAUGUAAACAGUAGCACAAAUACUUAAUAAUAAACCGUUAAUAGCUGAACGGACCUAUAAUCAUCAUGUCAGGUAAAGACGUGCGGGUUACGUGUUACACCGCGGCGCUGCUGAGUUCUGGACUCUGAUUGGUCAGAAGCUGGUGAUUAAUUCUCUAUAACAGCAGCUCUGAU
ensembl:lncRNA